GACAGAGGGUGCAAACGUUGUUCGGAAUUACUGGGCGUAAAGCGCGUGUAGGCGGCCCUGUAAGUCGGGUGUGAAAUCCCACGGCUCAACCGUGGAAGUGCAUUCGAAACUACAGGGCUAGAGUUCUGGAGAGGAAGGUGGAAUGCUUGGUGUAGAGGUUAAAUUCGUAGAUAUCAAGCGGAACACCGGUGGCGAAGGCGGCCUUCUGGACAGUAACUGACGCUGAGACGCGAAAGCGUGGGGAGCAAACAGG
rnacentral:rRNA from 1 species